GACUGGGGGAAGCCACGAGGGAGACGGGCUGGAGAAAGUUCCACCGAUCCGCCUUCCUCUUCUCCUCCUCCUCCUGCGGCCGCGGAGCCGCUGCUUUUCCCCGUGCCCGAGGAUCCCAGCCCGCAGCAUCCUCACUGGGAAGGGGGAAAAGCGUCGGAGCUCCCCCCAAAAAUGAGGGAAAAGGGCGAUUUCUCGGCACCGAGCUGCUCGCCGGGGGUGGCCGAGAUCGCCUGGCCCCCCGCUCCCCAAGGUCACGAAUGCAAAUGUAGCCUGCCGGCGGUGAAUGGGCUGAAUUGUGAUUAAGAAGAAGAAGAGCUCCUUUCUUUGUUCUCCCCUCAGGGGAUGUUUACUGGGAGAGACACAGCGGAUCAGAUAUGAAAGGCAUUCAGAUCCGUCUUUUCCCCGGCACCAAACGUAUUUUCUUGCAGCAACCAGAAAUUCCCCCAAAAGUUUCCUGGUGAAGCGUGUGCACACAACUCAGCAAGCACGGAAUGGUCGCGAAUGGCAAAAACCAGACACUCGUCUCCAAAUCCACCGCUUUCCUCCAAAUUCACCAUCAAACAAACAGCUGAGCCCUGGCACGGCACACAGCCCUGCCACAGCUCGCUCCCAUGGAUCCGCACAGAGGAACCUAACCGACACCCCUCACUCCCCAGUCGCUCUCAUGGACCUCAUCCAUUUGUAAUACCUAUUUCCAGGUGCUUUCCUCGAGGUUGCACAUUUUUCUCCCACCCGAGCAGCCGCUCUGGUAGCAAUCUGCUCGCAACGGAUUCACAGCGCUGCAGAGGAACCCGGGUACAGGAGUGCUCCCAGAUGCCCACCCCAGCGUGUGCCACCUGCAUGUCACCCAUCACAACCCCCUGCUCACCCCACAACCCUAUCGGGUGCCCUCAAACUUCCCCAUGCAGGGCAGAGCCUCACUUUCCACCACAAACAAGCUGCUUUCUGCUCUCGUUCGAGUGGGAAGCGAAGGUUUUCCCCCCUUUCCCAGCAGAGAGGAAGGGUGGGUGGGAGUCUUUUUGGUGAGGACUCUGAGCGAGUGUAAUCGUGUUUGGGCUGCGCUUCCCCUCGGAUCAGGCGCCCUGAAAGAAUUGAACUUUCUCUCUUUUCUUUACAACUGGAAGCGAGAUGGCAAUGGAAUCAAAGGGAGCUGUUUGCUGAAAGUUUGGAGGAAAUCAGGGCCAACUUUUUCCUUUCCCCCACCCCCAUUUUCCUCGGGAUUUGAUUUUAUUUUAUUUUAGCCGGGGCCGGAGGAGGGAGGGGGGGGGGGGAAGGGGGGUGGAACAAAGCAGCCCCGCUAAGGAGGAGGGAGCGGAGCCGCUCAACGCCCGGGGCCCGCGGACGGCGGGGGCCGCUCCGCACCGCUCCGCACCGCUCCGCGCAGCCCCACCUCUACGGGGCGCCCGUGAGGUGCGGGGCAGAAAGGGGCUCUCUGCCUUCCUCCUCCUCCUCCAUCUCCACCCGUGCCCCCUCCUCCUCCUCCUUUUCCUCCUCCUCCUCGUCCCGUGCCGCUACUUCUCCCCAGUGAAAGUGCUACGAAGUGAGUCAGGCGCCGGCAAUCAUCUGACCGAACUUCCCGCAGCCCCGCCGCAUUCCUGGGCUCUCCUCUCCGCGUACCCCAGCCCCGCUUUGGGUUCCUUUCCUCCCGCAAGACUCCACUUCCCAAAACCUCUGCCGCUCCCCCUCUGCCCCGAGCCGCAGCUCAGCCGCACCGCUCCGCAUCCCUUCCCCAGCCCCGCACACACGCGCGCACCGGGCGCACGCCGCGCUGAGCCAUUAGUUGCCUUAUUCUGAUGUGUCCUCCCCCCUCACCCCCCUCCCCACACACACACACACAUCAUUUCUAUGUGAUUGCACUCCCACUGCUCCGGCUUCCCCGAUGGCCAUCUCUCUCUCUCUCUCUCUCUCUCUCUCUCUCUCUAUUUUUUUUUUUUUUUUGGUGGGUUUUUAAUUUGAGUUGGGUUCUGCCUCGUUUCUAAGGAAUUUCGGGCUGAUUUCGAUAAGCAUCACCGUUUGGAGUGUUAUCAGCAAAGACACGAGCUCAGAAGUGACAUCUUUUCCACGAAUCCGGGAAAGGAGAAAAAUCCACUCAGGCCAGAUAAAUCCUGGGCUAUUCCCCACGGGAAAGGCUCUGGGCAUGUGCUUGUCGAGAAAGAGAAAAUGGGAGGGGGGGUUGGGAGGGGGGGGGGGGGGGGGGGGGGGGGGGAGGAAGAAGAAAAAAAAAGAGGAAGAAAAAUAAAGGAAAAA